rnacentral:sRNA from 1 species
GGCGCGGCCGUGCCAACCGGACACGGCGGAGAUGGAGAACGCAGGGAUUUUUCCGGUUUCUUCCUGCGGCCAACGAAACGGCAGUCGAGCUCCUUUACCCGUCCGGCCU